rnacentral:rRNA from 1 species
CACGUAGGGUGCGAGCGUUGUCCGGAAUUAUUGGGCGUAAAGAGCUCGUAGGCGGCUUGUCGCGUCGUUCGUGAAAACCCGGGGCUCAACUCCGGGCUUGCGGGCGAUACGGGCAGGCUAGAGUUCGGUAGGGGAGACUGGAAUUCCUGGUGUAGCGGUGAAAUGCGCAGAUAUCGAGAGGAACACCAGUGGCGAAGGCGAGUCUCUGGACGACUCCUGACACUGAGGCACGAAAGCUAGGGGAGCAAACAGG